AAGUAUGUUCAUCUCUACUUUCUGAUAUCCUCAUAUGAAUACUGUGAAAUAGGUAGAUUGGAUAUUAUUACCUCCAGUUAACAUAAGGAUACAGAAAGAGGCCAAGUCAUUUUCCCAAAGUCACUUGUCAACCAUUCAGAGGUAAUGAAAACAUCCCCAUGACCAGAAAUCCUCAGGAAUAAUUCCUCUUGACUGCAGUUAAUGGUGCAGAUUUCUGAGUUUUAUGAAAUAUGUCAUCAUGUGAUGAUGAGGAUUCUGCUGUGCUGUCCAGGCUGGCCUCUAACACCUGGGUUCAAGUGAUCCUUCUGCUUUAGCUGUAGUUGGGACUAAAUGUGUAUGCCACCAUACCCAUCAGAGUGGAUCUCAAAUGACAGUGCUGCAGAAUAUAUUUUGGAAAGAGUUGUUCUAGAUUUUA